rnacentral:rRNA from 1 species
UACGUAGGGUGCGAGCGUUACUCGGAAUUACUGGGCGUAAAGCGUGCGCAGGCGGUGAUGUAAGACAGAUGUGAAAUCCCCGGGCUCAACCUGGGAACUGCAUUUGUGACUGCAUCGCUGGAGUGCGGCAGAGGGGGAUGGAAUUCCGCGUGUAGCAGUGAAAUGCGUAGAUAUGCGGAGGAACACCGAUGGCGAAGGCAGUCCCCUGGACCUGUACUGACGCUCAUGCACGAAAGCGUGGGGAGCAAACAGG